UUGAUCAUGGCUCAGGACGAACGCUGGCGGCGUGCUUAACACAUGCAAGUCGACGGAUGAACCCGGAGCUUGCUCCGGCGGAUUAGUGGCGAACGGGUGAGUAACACGUGAGUAACCUGCCCUUGACUCUGGGAUAACUGCUAGAAAUGGUAGCUAAUACCGGAUACGACCCUCGGCGGCAUCGCCAGGGGGUGGAAAGAUUUAUCGGUUUGGGAGGGUCUCGCGGCCUAUCAGCUAGUUGGCGGGGUAACGGCCCACCAAGGCAUCGACGGGUAGCUGGUCUGAGAGGACGAUCAGCCACACUGGGACUGAGACACGGCCCAGACUCCUACGGGAGGCAGCAGUGGGGAAUCUUGCGCAAUGGGCGAAAGCCUGACGCAGCAACGCCGCGUGCGGGAUGAAGGCCUUCGGGUUGUAAACCGCUUCCAGCAGGGAAGAAAUUGACGGUACCUGCAGAAGAAGCCCCGGCCAACUACGUGCCAGCAGCCGCGGUAACACGUAGGGGGCGAGCGUUGUCCGGAUUUAUUGGGCGUAAAGAGCUCGUAGGCGGUUCGGUAAGUCGGGUGUGAAACCUCCAGGCUCAACCUGGAGACGCCACCUGAUACUGCUGUGACUAGAGUCCGGUAGGGGAGUGUGGAACUCCUGGUGUAGCGGUGAAAUGCGCAGAUAUCAGGAAGAACACCAGCGGCGAAGGCGGCACUCUGGGCCGGUACUGACGCUGAGGAGCGAAAGCGUGGGUAGCAAACAGGAUUAGAUACCCUGGUAGUCCACGCCGUAAACGUUGGGCACUAGGUGUGGGUCUCAACCAACGAGAUCCGUGCCGCAGCUAACGCAUUAAGUGCCCCGCCUGGGGAGUACGGCCGCAAGGCUAAA
rnacentral:rRNA from 1 species